rnacentral:antisense_RNA from 1 species
CUUCAGCGAGCCGAUCCACAACGGUCGUUCGGCGGGCCGGUCCUGACCGUACGUGGCCAGCAGCGCCUGGGCCUC